rnacentral:rRNA from 1 species
UACGUAGGGGGCAAGCGUUGUCCGGAUUUAUUGGGCGUAAAGAGCGUGUAGGCGGCCAGGUAGGUCCGUUGUGAAAACUCGAGGCUCAACCUCGAGACGUCGAUGGAAACCAUCUGACUAGAGUCCGGAAGAGGAGAGUGGAAUUCCUGGUGUAGCGGUGAAAUGCGCAGAUAUCAGGAAGAACACCCGUGGCGAAGGCGGCUCUCUGGGACGGUACUGACGCUGAGACGCGAAAGCGUGGGGAGCGAACAGG